UUAAAGGACCUAUUAUUGAUUUGUUUCAGAGAUUUUUGGCUAGAUAUAAGAGGCUCUAUUGGAAAUUUGCUGUGUUUGCAGUAAUUUGGCUUUGGAGUUAAUGGUAGGAUUUUAAUGAUCUUCACUUGUCCAUGCAUAAUCUGUGGGACACGAUUGAUUUUUGGCAUUAUAGUUCUUGAACUUUUGGUAUAAUUUAAGAGGCUUCACUCGAGAGAUGGAGGUUCUUGUUUUUGUUUCUUUAUUUAUUAUUGCUUAGAAAGAAUCUUUUCCUCCAAAAGUACUCAUGUAGCUAUAUGUAUAUUUUCAUAAUCUCUGUCCCUCGCACAUGGAUGCGAGUGCUGCAUUCUAGCUACUCUGUUUCAGCCAAUUAUAUCUUGCUUUCGAAUCAUCUGCCUACUUGUUUUAAAACAAAUAUAUAUUUCAAAG
rnacentral:misc_RNA from 1 species